UACAGUAGUGAAUGCAAGUCGCUCUGGAUAAGAGCGUCUGCUAAAUUACUAAAA
rfam:Salmo salar isolate Sally breed double haploid chromosome ssa09, whole genome shotgun sequence.